UAAGGAGCUGUGGACUUUUAAGAAGAGAGAAUGCCGGAAUGAGUAGCGAGAUGGAGGUGGGAAUCCUCCAGGCCGAAUAUCCAAGGUUUCCAGAGUAAAGCUGAUCUGCUCUGGGUAAGUCGGGGCCUAAGGUAAGGCUGAGAAGCGUAGCCGAUGGACAACAGGUUGAGAUUCCUGUACCGCGUAUCAUCAGAACUGUGGGGACACAGAAGGACAGCACAACCCGGGAAUGGAAAGACCGGGGCAAGCAGGGUAGGAGUUAAGCUGGCAAAUCCGCUUAACAAUCCGAAGCUGUGAUGCGGAGCGAAUUUAAGUAGCGAAGUGUGCGAUUCCGGCUGUCAAGAAAAGCCGCUAUUGUGUGAUACGUGCCCGUACCGUAAACCGACACAGGUAGAUGAGGAGAGAAUCCUAAGGCCGGCGGGAGAAGCAUUGUUAAGGAACUCGGCAAAAUGACCCUGUAACUUCGGGAGAAAGGGUGCCUGGGAAACCAGGCCGCAGAGAAUAGGCUCAAGCAACUGUUUAGCAAAAACACAGGUCUAUGCAAAACCGUAAGGUGAGGUAUAUGGGCUGACGCCUGCCCGGUGCUGGAAGGUUAAGAGGAGGGGUUAGCGCAAGCGAAGCUCUGAAUUGAAGCCCCAGUAAACGGCGGCCGUAACUAUAACGGUCCUAAGGUAGCGAAAUUCCUUGUCGGGUAAGUUCCGACCCGCACGAAAGGCGUAAUGAUUUGAGCGCUGUCUCGACAAUGCACCCGGUGAAAUUGAAAUACCAGUGAAGAUGCUGGUUACCUGCGCCAGGACGGAAAGACCCCAUGGAGCUUUACUCCAGCUUGAUACUGGGAUUCGGUACUGCAUGUACAGGAUAGGUGGGAGACUGAGAACUAUGAACGCCAGUUUGUAGGGAGUCGCUGUUGGGAUACCACCCUUGCGGUAUUGGAUUUCUAACCUGCAGCCGUGAACCGGCUGGGGGACAAUGUCAGGCGGGGAGUUUGACUGGGGCGGUCGCCUCCGAAAGGGUAUCGGAGGCGCUCAAAGGUUCCCUCAGAAUGGUUGGAAACCAUUCGAAGAGUGCAAAGGCAGAAGGGAGCUUGACUGCGACACCGACGGGUGGAGCAGGUACGAAAGUAGGACUUAGUGAUCCGGUGGUAUAAAGUGGGAUUGCCAUCGCUCAACGGAUAAAAGCUACCCUGGGGAUAACAGGCUUAUCACUCCCAAGAGUUCACAUCGACGGAGUGGUUUGGCACCUCGAUGUCGGCUCAUCGCAUCCUGGGGCUGUAGCAGGUCCCAAGGGUUGGGCUGUUCGCCCAUUAAAGCGGUACGCGAGCUGGGUUCAGAACGUCGUGAGACAGUUCGGUCCCUAUCCGGCGCGGGCGUAAGAUAUUUGAGAGGAGCUGUCCUUAGUACGAGAGGACCGGGAUGGACGGGCCGCUGGUGUACCUGUUGGAGUGCCAACUCCAUGGCAGGGUAGCCAAGCCCGGACGGGAUAAACGCUGAAGGCAUCUAAGCGUGAAGCCCCCCUCAAGAUGAGAUAUCUCAUACGCAAGUAGUAAGACCCCUUGAAGACGACGAGGUAGAUAGGUCAGAGGUGGAAGUGCGGUAACGCAUGGAGCUGACUGAUACUAAUCGGUCGAGGGCUUGACCAA
rnacentral:rRNA from 1 species